rnacentral:pre_miRNA from 1 species
CUUGUCUUAGAUUUGUCUAAAUUCUUGUCUUAGAUUUAUCUAAAUACGGAUAUAUCAAAUCACAUUUUAGUAUUAGAUACAUCCAUAUCUAGACAAAUCUAAGACAAGAAUUUUAGGACAGAGGGAGUAC